UACGAAGGGUGCAAACGUUGCUCGGAAUUACUGGGCGUAAAGCGUACGCAGGCGGCUUUGCAAGACAGGUGUGAAAUCCCCGGGCCUAACCUGGGAACUGCAUUUGUGACUGCAUAGCUAGAGUUUGUCAGAGGGGGGUGGAAUUCCACGUGUAGCAGUGAAAUGCGUAGAUAUGUGGAGGAACACCGAUGGCGAAGGCAGCCCCCUGGGAUGUGACUGACGCUCAUGUACGAAAGCGUGGGGAGCAAACAGG
rnacentral:rRNA from 1 species